CUCGAACGGAGUUAGCUAGUAAGUCUUGGAAUCAUAAUAGUGUAUUGUUUGUUACAUGGACUGAAACUAUUCUCGUGUCAAUGUAAUGAGAAAUGACUGAGAUAAUAGCCAAAAACUAGUUUUUUUUUUAUAUUAAUUUUGUAACCACCUUUUUGAGACUUCUGCACCAGGUAUGAACAAGUUACUACUUUGAGUGUAUUCAUUAAGGCCUCUUAUAUAGACUGUUUAUGGUUUCAUUUUUCUAGAUGCUAUGUUUCAAAAUGAGAACUGAGUAGUGAAAGAAUAGGUUAUUUACCAAGAAACACAAGCAGGAUUUCAGUGGCAUUGAUGAGACAUUGUUACAUGAUGGUAAAGCUUUAUAUUUAUGCUACCACAGAGAACUAUCAAGAUAGAGAUGAUGUACAUUACAGUAUGUACUGUAUGGUGAUACAUUAAAAUUUGUUGAAGGACUCAUAAUAAUAAUCAAUCUAUUGG